GCAGGCAAGGAUCAAUCCUGCUAGCUCCAUGUCGAUUUCCACCCUCAUAUUCAGCAUUAGUGUUAGUUUAAUUUAUUGGGAACUUUUGAUGCAUAGUUCGGUUUGUAGCUUAUCCACAUCAUUCAGUGGCACAGCUAAUGCUACAUUACUGACUGUAUGAACUAACCAAAGAAGAUGCUGGAUAAUGAGCUGACUACUGAUCGCCUUUUGGCAACUAAUCCGGAAAGGAGAAUAUAAACUCUCUUUCUGUUUCCGCUUUCUCAUCAC
rnacentral:lncRNA from 1 species